rnacentral:rRNA from 1 species
CCUACGGGGGGCUGCAGUGAGGAAUAUUGGGCAAUGGGCGCAAGCCUGACCCAGCAACGCCGCGUGAAGGAUGAAGGCCCUUGGGUUGUAAACUUCUUUUGCAGGGGAAGAGAGCGGACGGUACCCUGAGAAUAAGUCACGGCUAACUACGUGCCAGCAGCCGCGGUAAUACGUAGGUGACAAGCGUUAUCCGGAAUUACUGGGCGUAAAGCGCACGCAGGCGGCUGAGAAAGUCUGACGUGAAAUCUCCCGGCUUAACCGGGAGCGGUCGUUGGAAACUACUUGGCUUGAGGCGAUGAGAGGGGUGUGGAAUUCCCGGUGUAGUGGUGGAAUGCGUAGAUAUCGGGAGGAACAUCAGUGGCGAAAGCGGCACCCUGGCAUUAGCCUGACGCUCAGGUGCGAAAGCGUGGGGAGCGAACGGGCUUAGAUACCCUAGUAGUC